rnacentral:snRNA from 1 species
CAACCCUUGACUCUCUACAAUUCGCACAAAUCUUUCGCCUUUUACUAAAGAUUUCCGUGGAGAGGGUCAAUCCAUGAGUCUAAUUUUAAUUUUUGGAAUGCCUGGCGCAAGUCAGGCAC